AUAAGCAAUUUUUUGUUGGUUUUAGCCUCUUUUGAGAGAAAAUAGGUAUUAGUGUUGUCUAAACACUCCUAAUACAUCUCUAAUCUUAUAAUUAGUCAAAUGCAUUGGAUUGUGACACAUUUUGACUAUAAAAACACUAACAAAACUGUUUAUUGCUU
rnacentral:sRNA from 1 species